GCGAGCGUUAAUCGGAAUUACUGGGCGUAAAGGGCACGCAGGCGGUUAAUUAAGUUGGAUGUGAAAUCCCCGGGCUUAACCUGGGAAUGGNAUUCAAGACUGGUUAGCUAGAGUCUUGUAGAGGGGGGUAGAAUUCCAUGUGUAGCGGUGAAAUGCGUAGAGAUGUGGAGGAAUACCGGUGGCGAAGGCGGCCCCCUGGACAGAGACUGACGCUCAUGUGCGAAAGCGUGGGGAGCAAACAGGAUUAGAUACCCUGGUAGUCCACGCUGUAAACGAUGUCGAUUUGGAGGUUGUGGUCAUGAAUUGUGGCCUCCGGAGCUAACGCGUUAAAUCGACCGCCUGGGGAGUACGGCCGCAAGGUUAAAACUCAAAUGAAUUGACGGGGGCCCGCACAAGCGGUGGAGCAUGUGGUUUAAUUCGAUGCAACGCGAAGAACCUUACCUACUCUUGACAUCCAGCGAAGCCUUUAGAGAUAAAGGCGUGCCUUCGGGAGCGCUGAGACAGGUGCUGCAUGGCUGUCGUCAGCUCGUGUUGUGAAAUGUUGGGUUAAGUCCCGCAACGAGCGCAACCCUUAUCCUUUGUUGCCA
rnacentral:rRNA from 1 species